AUAGCCCUGCCAUCGAUAACGAUAUGUGUAUUUUCCUGCUCUCUCUGCACCAACAAAACACGCAACUAAAUUUCGUUUUAAAACCCCCAACUAAAAACAAUGUUAACGAAACGGAACCAAUUAAGUGAUUAAGUGGCUAAACGCGGCGGCGCCGAAAGCGAGCGCAGUGCAUUUUUCCGGAUGAAAUCGCGUUUUCGGGGAAACUUACACAAACAUUUUUUUUCGUAAGCGCUCUCAUGUUGUCUCUUUCGCACAGCAGAAUUACUAGUUGCUGUGUGUGUGCGUGCGUGCGUUUGUGUGUGCCGUAUGCCGUGUGUGUGCGUGCGUGUUUGCCUGUGUGAGUGACUUUGACUGCAGUUCGCGUACGUUUUUUUAUUAAUACCACACAAAACACAAAACAACAACAACAAACUGAAAUGGAAACUAAACAUAUUUAAUGCGAGGAGAGCAGAAAUCGGCAAACAACAACGGCAACGGCAAGGCUUUAUCACCUACUCACCACCACCACCAGCACCACCACUACGCCAGCAGCAACAACAACAACAAAUUACUACAGCGUGCAUGUGUGAUGAACGUAUUUGUGUUAAAUAAUGUUUAAACAUUUCUGAUUUCGCACACAAAACAAUUUUGAGUUGUAGUCACCGACCAGCAGAGAGAAACAAUUGAAGCAAACGAAGAAGAGCCAACACUUAUUAUUAAAAUCGCCUCAAAUACAAGCAAUAAUAAAUAAUAUAUAAAAAAAAACCAACCCGAAAGUAAAAAGUUCAACAUUUAGUAAAGGAAAACAAAUUAUUAAAAAUCGUAGCCAUUAGCUUUAACAAAACGCGUAAAAAUUUUGAACAGAACUUAGCAAGCCUAUAAAAAGUACGCCUUCCAAUAGUUAUUAUAUAUACACGCAUUAUAUACAUAUGCAUAUACAUAGCCAUAGCACUUACAACAUACAUACAUAUAUAUACAACAACGGUCAAAGGGAAUUAAACAACAAAAAACUAAAAACAAAAAAAAAAUCACAAACGGGAAACGAAAGAACGAUCGAGAAUCGUGGAAAAAGUGCGUUAUAUUCCAACGGUGCAAUCAAAUCUUAAUGUAGCCAAGCGAUAUUACGGCUACACACUAACAUAAAUACCAUAAAAAUAUAUAUAUAUUCUUACAUCCAUCAGAUAAAUCAACAAUUUUUACAAUCCGCAAAGUUAAGCAGCUUCAAAGUCAACCAACGCAAUUACUUUAAGAGAAUUACUUUAUCGGUAAAUAGAAAUGCAUAUACAUAUAUAUAUUGGAGGAUAAACGAAUAUUGAAGGCAAAAUUUAAAAUAAAUCAAGUGCAAAUUACAACAAAUUAUUCUAAAUAUUAAUUCAAAUGAGAAUUAUAAGAAAUUUCCAAUAUUAAAAUCAAAUUAUCCUAUUAUUCAUAGGCCUAAGUAAUGAAUAACAAAUUUUAUAUAUGCGCCCCAAGUGCUUAAUAAACAAAAAAAAAAAAACAAAAAACAGCAACAACAACACCAGACAAGAAAACUAUGUAAAACAACAACAACCUCAACAAACAGCGAAUCGAGCAAUAUUAUCAAUAAUAUAAAUCAGUAAAUUGUUAAAUGUUAAAAUUCAAAUUUAAACAACGCUAGCAACCUGCCAAUAGCAACAAAAUAUAAUA